rnacentral:rRNA from 1 species
GACGAAUGCUGGCUGCGUGCUUAACACAUGCAAGUCGAACGGUGAAAGGGAGCUUGCUCCCUAGAUCAGUGGCGAACGGGUGAGUAACACGUGGGCAACCUGCCCCUCACUCUGGGAUAACUCCGGGAAACCCGGGCUAAUACCGGAUACGACCUGGUGCGACAUCGCACCGGGUGGAAAGAACUUCGGUGAGGGAUGGGCCCGCGGCCUAUCAGCUUGUUGGUGGGGUAACGGCCCGCCAAGGCGACGACGGGUAGCCGGCCCGAGAGGGCGAGCGGCGACACUGGGACUGAGACACGGCCCGGACUGCUAGGGGGGGCAGCAGUGGAGAAGAUGGCGCAAUGGGCGAAAGCCUGACGCAGCGACGCGGCGGGAGGGAGGAAGGCCUUCGGGUUGUAAACCUCUUUCAGCGGGGACGAAGCGAAAGUGACGGUACCCGCAGAAGAAGCACCGGCUAACUACGUGCCAGCAGCCGCCGUAAGAC